GGAGGGAUGGCUGAGUGGUUGAAAGCGGCGGUCUUGAAAACCGUUGUAGGCGCGAGCCUACCGGGGGUUCGAAUCCCUCUCCCUCCGCCA
rnacentral:tRNA from 3 species